rnacentral:rRNA from 1 species
UCAGUCGACUCCUACGGGGAGGCAGCAGUGGGGGAAUAUUGCACAAUGGGCGCAAGCCUGAUGCAGCCAUGCCGCGUGUAUGAAGAAGGACCUUCGGGUUGUAAAGUACUUUCAGCAGUGAGGAAGGCAGGUACGUUAAUAGCGUGCUUGUUUGACGUUAGCUGCAGAAGAAGCACCGGCUAACUCCGUGCCAGCAGCCGCGGUAAUACGGAGGGUGCGAGCGUUAAUCGGAAUUACUGGGCGUAAAGCGCAUGCAGGUGGUUUGUUAAGUCAGAUGUGAAAGCCCGGGGCGUCAACCUCGGAAUUGCAUUUGAAACUGGCAGACUAGAGUACUGUAGAGGGGGGUAGGAAUUUCAGGUGUAGCGGUGAAAUGCGUAGAGAUCUGAAGGAAUACCGGUGGCGAAGGCGGCCCCCUGGACAGAUACUGACACUCAGAUGCGAAAGCGUGGGGAGCAAACAGGAUUAGAUACCCUGGUAG